GGGCCUGUGGCUCAAAGGAGUAAGGUGCUGGCCCUCUAUGCCAGAGGUGGUGGGUUCAAGCCACCCAGUCCUA
rnacentral:tRNA from 1 species